rnacentral:rRNA from 1 species
AUACGGGGGGGCGAGCGUUGUUCGGAAUUACUGGGCGUAAAGGGCGCGUAGGCGGUCCGAGAAGUUUCGGGUGAAAGCCCCGGGCUCAACCCGGGAAGGUCCCGGAAAACCAUCGGACUGGAGUGCUGGAGAGGCAAGCGGAAUUUCUGGUGUAGCGGUGAAAUGCGUAGAUAUCAGAAGGAACAUCGGAGGCGAAGGCGGCUUGCUGGACAGCAACUGACGCUGAGGCGCGAAAGCCAGGGGAGCGAACGGGAUUAGAAACCCGAGUAGUCC